GAAAGAAUAUCGGAGACGGAUGGGCAUGCGGCGCAUUAGCUGGUUGGCGGGGUAACGGCCCACCAAGGCGACGAUGCGUAGGGGUUCUGAGAGGAAGGUCCCCCACACUGGUACUGAGACACGGACCAGACUCCUACGGGAGGCAGCAGUGAGGAAUAUUGGUCAAUGGGCGAGAGCCUGAACCAGCCAAGUCGCGUGAGGGAGUACUGCCCUAUGGGUUGUAAACCUCUUUUGUCGGGGAGCAAAAGCCGGACGUGUCCGGCUGUGAGAGUACCCGAAGAAAAAGCAUCGGCUAACUCCGUGCCAGCAGCCGCGGUAAUACGGAGGAUGCGAGCGUUAUCCGGAUUUAUUGGGUUUAAAGGGUGCGCAGGCGGAUUUUUAAGUCAGCGGUCAAAUCGUGGGGCUCAACCCCAUCCAGCCGUUGAAACUGGGGAUCUAGAGUGUGCGAGAGGUAUGCGGAAUGCGUGGUGUAGCGGUGAAAUGCAUAGAUAUCACGCAGAACCCCGAUUGCGAAGGCAGCAUACCGGUGCACAACUGACGCUCAGGCACGAAAGCGUGGGUAUCGAACAGGAUUAGAUACCCUGGUAGUCCACGCAGUAAACGAUGAAUGCUACCUGUUUGGCCAGAUUGAUGGCUGA
rnacentral:rRNA from 1 species